GUACAUUCGGAAGGUGAGGAAUGGGGAUGAGGUAAACUCUGCUAUGUGCCUCUAGACGUUUCAAAAUUUUUCAGUUUUUUAGUGAAACAACAUAGUGAAGGAGCAAAGAGUGAAAACAUCAAUAUUGUUGUUUUAGUGGGAUUUCCAUGAUGACUAGUGAGAUCGAGUAUCUUUUCACACAACUGCUGCUGCUGCUGCUACUAAGUCGCUUCAGUCGUGGCCGACUCUGUGCAACCCCAGAGAAGGCAGCCCACCAGGCUCCCCUGUCCCUGGGAUUCUCCAGGCAAGAACGCUGGAGUGGGUCACCAUUUCCUUCUCCAAUGCAUGAAAGUGAAAGUGAAGUUGCUCAGUUGUG
ensembl:lncRNA